UUAGAGUUUGAUCCUGGCUCAGGAUGAACGCUAGCGGCAGGCCUAAUACAUGCAAGUCGAGCGAGAUUGUUUUAGCAAUAGAACAUGAAAGUGGCGCACGGGUGCGUAACACGUAUGCAAUCUACCUCUAAUAGGGAAAUAGCUUCGAGAAAUCGGAAUUAAUGUCCCAUAACAUAUUUGAAUGGCAUCAUUUGAAUAUCAAACCUCCGGGGAUUAGAGAUGAGCAUGCGCAACAUUAGCUAGUUGGUAAGGUAAUGGCUUACCAAGGCUACGAUGUUUAGGGGGUCUGAGAGGAUGAUCCCCCACACUGGUACUGAGACACGGACCAGACUCCUACGGGAGGCAGCAGUAGGGAAUAUUGGUCAAUGGAGGCAACUCUGAACCAGCCAUGCCGCGUGCAGGAUGACGGCCCUCUGGGUUGUAAACUGCUUUUGUACGGGAAGAAAAAAUACUACGUGUAGUAUAUUGACGGUACCGUAAGAAUAAGGAUCGGCUAACUCCGUGCCAGCAGCCGCGGUAAUACGGAGGAUCCAAGCGUUGUCCGGAUUUAUUGGGUUUAAAGGGUGCGUAGGCGGAUCUUUAAGUCAGUGGUGAAAGCCUGCAGCUCAACUGUAGAAUUGCCAUUGAAACUGAAGAUCUUGAAUUAGGUUAAAGUAGGCGGAAUGUAUCAUGUAGCGGUGAAAUGCUUAGAUAUGAUGCAGAACACCGAUAGCGAAGGCAGCUUGCUGAACCUAUAUUGACGCUGAGGCACGAAAGCGUGGGGAGCGAACAGGAUUAGAUACCCUGGUAGUCCACGCCCUAAACGUUGAUUACUCGUUGUUGGCGAUAUACAGUCAGCGACCAAGCUAAAGCGUUAAGUAAUCCACCUGGGAAGUACGACCGCAAGGUUGAAACUCAAAGGAAUUGACGGGGGCCCGCACAAGUGGAGGAGCAUGUGGUUUAAUUCGAUGAUACGCGAGGAACCUUACCUGGGCUUGGAAGUUAGUGACGUUCUGUGAAAGCAGAAUUCCCUUCGGGGCACAAAACUAGGUGCUGCAUGGCUGUCGUCAGCUCGUGCCGUGAGGUGUUGGGUUAAGUCCCGCAACGAGCGCAACCCCUUUCUUUAGUUGCCAUCAGGUAAUGCUGGGGACUCUAAAGAUACUGCCUACGUAAGUAGUGAGGAAGGUGGGGACGACGUCAAGUCAUCAUGGCCCUUACGUCCAGGGCUACACACGUGCUACAAUGGUCGACACAGAUGGUUGCUACUUAGUAAUAAGAUGCUAAUCCCAAAAAGUCGGCCUCAGUUCGGAUUGAGGUCUGCAACUCGACCUCAUGAAGCUGGAUUCACUAGUAAUCGCAUAUCAGCAAUGAUGCGGUGAAUACGUUCCCGGGCCUUGUACACACCGCCCGUCAAGCCAUGGAAGAUGGGAGUACCUGAAGCCGAUAACCGCAAGGAGUCGUCUAGGGUGAUACCGUUGACUGGGGCUAAGUCGUAACAAGGUAACCAAGGGCGAA
rnacentral:rRNA from 1 species